GUACUUACCUGGACCGCUGGACGGGGUCAAAGGGUGGUCAAGAUGACCCAUGGCCUAGGUUGGCGACCUCCAUUGCACUUUGGAGGGGCUCCAGUCUAAGGUCGGCCCAAGAGGUCGAACCUAAGUUAUAAUUUAGGCAUGUUCGUUUAUGUUCGAGUUCGAG